GCGUGGUCGACCCUGCC
rnacentral:rRNA from 1 species